UGUUUUUUCUUCUUCAACCACGACGAGGCGAGAAGGACUUGAUGAUCGGGGGCAAUUUGUUGUACAAAAAGUUGACGAACUACAACAAAUCUGCUGUUUGGUGAGGUAAUGCACAAUGAAAAUAGGCACAUAUCUGGAUAGAUGAUUCCUCAACCAUGGCCUCAGCUUUAAAUGGUGACAUAACGAACAGCCAUCUGUCAGACGUAGAAUUCAGGAAUCCUUCUCCAGGCCAUCUGGCAAAACCGAAAGAGGCA